rnacentral:rRNA from 1 species
GGACUACAGGGGUUUCUAAUCCUGUUCGCUCCCCACGCUUUCGAGACUCAGCGUCAGUUUCAGUCCAGUUAGCCGCCUUCGCCACUGGUGUUCUUCCUUAUAUCUACGCAUUUCACCGCUACACAAGGAAUUCCGCUAACCUCUCCUGUACUCUAGUUACACAGUUUCUCAUGCCAUUCCCGGGUUAAGCCCGGGGAUUUCACAUGUGACUUAUAUAACCGCCUACUCUCCCUUUACACCCAGUAAUUCCGGAUAACGCUUGCCCCCUACGUUUUACCGCGGCUGCUGGCAC